CCAGACUCCUACGGGAGGCAGCAGUGGGGAAUAUUGGACAAUGGGGGGAACCCUGAUCCAGCGACGCCGCGUGAGUGAAGAAGUAUUUCGGUAUGUAAAGCUCUAUCAGCAGGGAAGAAAGAAAUGACGGUACCUGACUAAGAAGCCCCGGCUAACUACGUGCCAGCAGCCGCGGUAAUACGUAGGGGGCAAGCGUUAUCCGGAUUUACUGGGUGUAAAGGGAGCGUAGACGGCGAUGCAAGUCUGAAGUGAAAGGCGGGGGCCCAACCCCCGGACUGCUUUGGAAACUGUAUAGCUGGAGUGCAGGAGAGGUAAGUGGAAUUCCUAGUGUAGCGGUGAAAUGCGUAGAUAUUAGGAGGAACACCAGUGGCGAAGGCAGCUUGCUAGGCCGGAUCUGACACUGAUGCACGAAAGCGUGGGGAUCGAACAGGAUUAGAUACCCUGGUAA
rnacentral:rRNA from 1 species